rnacentral:lncRNA from 1 species
GUCAACAUAUCAUUAGACAGUUGACCACGGACCAUUGCUCACGUGCUCUAGGUAUGGACAUAGCUUGUCUAAUCUCCAAUCGUUGGCAGGGGAAUGGAGCAUUUGCCCUUCUGUAUGACCACAGCUACUCUCACUUGGAGGAUCAUCAAUAGACAAGGGUCAACCAGCUCCAGAGGAAGCCUCUUCUACAGCUCAGAGAACCUAUUCCUUUAAGUUUCCUCACCUCUGUUCCAAUGCCAGACAAAACUUUUA